rnacentral:rRNA from 1 species
UACUAGAGUAGCACUCGCAUAUCAAUAAGCGGAGGAAAAGAAACUAACAAGGAUUCCCCUAGUAACGGCGAGUGAAGCGGGAAGAGCUCAAAUUUGAAAUCUUAAAGGGUUUCCCUUUACGAAUUGUAGUUUAAAGAAGUGUUUUCUGUUGAGGUUUUGGUAAAAGUUCUUUGGAAUAGGACAUCAUAGAGGGUGAGAAUCCCGUAUUUGACCUUUACUUUCAACUUUGUGAUACACUUUCAAAGAGUCGGAUUGUUUGGGAAUGCAGUCCAAAAUGGGUGGUAAAUUUCAUCUAAAGCUAAAUAUUGGCGAGAGACCGAUAGGGAACAGGUACCGUGAGGGAAAGAUGAAAAGAACUUUGAAAAGAGAGUUAAACAGUACGUGAAAUUGUCAAAAGGGAAGCGUUUGACACCAGUGUUGUUUUUCUGAAAAUCAAUUAAAGAACUGUUUAUGCUAAGCUGUUUAGACUUUAUCAGCUAAUCUGUUUAGUUUUGAGCUUUUCUUUAAUGCACUUUUCAGUUAACAAGUCAACAUCAAUUUCUUUUGCUGUAAAAAAGCUUGAGGAAGAUGGCUUGAGAUUCGUCUUAAGUGCUUAUAGCCUCUUGCCUAUGCAGUCGGAGAGAUUGAGGUCUGCAGCGUAGAUCCUUCGGGGCUAAAUGCAUUUGUGCUAAGUUAUAGCAUUUUAUAGACAACUUGUUGACUAUGAUUUGUCUUGUAGCUUACUCGCUUAUGUUAUUUUACCUACGCUUAGGAUGUUGAGCGCAUGUCUCUCUCUA